rnacentral:rRNA from 1 species
UACAGAGGUCUCAAGCGUUGUUCGGAUUCAUUGGGCGUAAAGGGUGCGUAGGCGGCGCGGUAAGUCGGGUGUGAAAUCUUGGAGCUUAACUCCGAAACUGCAUUCGAUACUGCCGUGCUUGAGGACUGGAGAGGAGACUGGAAUUUACGGUGUAGCGGUGAAAUGCGUAGAUAUCGUAAGGAAGACCAGUGGCGAAGGCGGGUCUCUGGACAGUUCCUGACGCUGAAGCACGAAGGCUAGGGGAGCGAAUGGG